rnacentral:rRNA from 1 species
GACGAACGCUGGCGGCGUGCUUAACACAUGCAAGUCGAACGAAGUGGCGAACGGGUGAGUAACGCGUAAACAACCUGCCAUUCAGAGGGGGAGAACAGUUGGAAACGACUGCUCAUACCGCAUACUGAAGGAGGGGACUGCGUGUGAUUAGCUAGUUGGAGGGGGAACGGCCCACCAAGGCGAAGAUCAGUAGGCGGAUGGAAGGGAUGAAGCGCCACAAUGGGACCUGGAAAAGGGCCAGGCUCCUACGGGAGGCAGGAAGGGGGAAUCUUCCGGAAUUGACGAAAGGCUGACGGGGCAACGCCGCGUUGAGUAUGACGGCCUUCGGGUUGUAAAGCUCUGUUAGUCGGGACGCGGUACCGGAAUAGAAAGCCACGGCUAACUACGUGCCAGCAGCCGCGGUAAUUC